rnacentral:misc_RNA from 1 species
AAAAAAAAAAAAAAAAGAAAAACUUAAAAAUGCUACUUCAUAUUGCUUGACUUUUAACUCUACCGCAUCAUCACGAACGGCAACCAUUCACUGCUUACCUCCUUUUCGAAACCACCACUAAUCUCGCAGUUCCUCACCACUACAAAUCACUGUUGCAGGUUCUUUCUUUCCAAGUAUGCAAUCUAUUACUGCUUUAUUUGGACUUAUACUCUGCAUAUAUUGGUGUUGAUGUGAAUGGUCUUUUUAUUAGGGGAAGGUUGGAGGUCAGGUUUGUUCAUAAAUGCUGAUAAUCACAAAUAAUUAUAUUUGGCAUUUUUGAGACUCCUAGUUAUGAUACAUAAUUAUAUUUGUUUGGACUUUUGGUCCCAAUGUUUUGAGAUAUACAUAUUCUGGUUCCAGAGCCAGGGGACUGGCCGGACCUAAUGAGGUUCUAAUGAGAUUUUUUAUUUUUUUAGGGGGAUAAAUUGUUUGAUUUCAUGCUGUAGUGAAGCUGAAUUUGUAUUUGCAAAAACAAAAUUU